rnacentral:lncRNA from 1 species
CUCUUUUCUUCCCUUCUUCCUCUUAUUCUACAAAAAAUUUGAAGGGGGACUAAAGCCCCACCUUUCUUUUUAUAAAUAGCCCAACGUCUCCUCUUCUCUCCUUCCAUUUCUUUUUUUUUUUUUAAAGUAGCAAUUAUUAAAUCAUUGACCAGUCACAUUGUUGACGCGACUGACGCGAUAUGAUCAGUCAAUAUAUUUAUUUUUAACCCUUUUAUUUUUUAAAAAAUGCCAUAGUUUAUUCUUUUAUAAAUAAAUUCUUUCUCAUUUUUUU